GACGAACGCUGGCGGCGUGCCUAAUACAUGCAAGUCGAACGCAGUGGGGACGGGUGAGUAACACGUGGGUAACCUCCCCAUCAGCGGGGAUAACACUUGGAAACAGGUGCUAAACCGAUACUGAUGGAUGAACCCGCGGUUCAUUAGCUAGUUGGUGAGGUAACGGCUCACCAAGGCCACGAUGCAUAGCCCGCCUUGUGGGGUGAUCGGCCACACUGGAAAUGAGAACAGGGCCAAACUCCUACGGGAGGCAGCAGUAGGGAAUCUUCCGCAAUGGGCGAAAGGCCUACCGGGCAACGCCCCGGGAGUGAAGAAGGGUUUCGGAUCGGAAAACCCUUUUAUUAGGGAAGCGGUACCCAAUCAGAAAGCCACGGCUAACUACGUGCCAGCCGCCGCGGUAAUUC
rnacentral:rRNA from 1 species